rnacentral:rRNA from 1 species
GAUGAACGCUGGCGGCGUGCUUAACACAUGCAAGUCGAACGAUGAACCGGGUGCUUGCACUCGGGGAUUAGUGGCGAACGGGUGAGUAACACGUGAGCAACCUGCCCCUGACUCUGGGAUAAGCGCUGGAAACGGCGUCUAAUACUGGAUAUGUCCCGUCACCGCAUGGUGUGCGGGUGGAAAGAUUUUUCGGUUGGGGAUGGGCUCGCGGCCUAUCAGCUUGUUGGUGGGGUAAUGGCCUACCAAGGCGACGACGGGUAGCCGGCCUGAGAGGGUGACCGGUAACACUGGGACUGAGAUACGGCCCAGACUCCUACGGGAGGCAGCAGUGGGGAAUAUUGCACAAUGGGCGCAAGCCUGAUGCAGCGACGCCGCGUGAGGGAUGACGGCCUUCGGGUUGUAAACCUCUUUCAGCUAUGACGAAGCGCAAGUGACGGUAGUAGCAGAAGAAGGACCGGCCAACUACGUGCCAGCCGCCGCCGUAA